rnacentral:tRNA from 1 species
GUAGCUCAGUGGUAGAGUGCUUGCCUGGCAUGCAUGAGGCUCUGGGUUUGAACCAUAGC